rnacentral:rRNA from 1 species
AUUGAACGCUGGCGGCAGGCUUAACACAUGCAAGUCGAGCGGGGAGAUGUAGCUUGCUACAUUUCCUAGCGGCGGACGGGUGAGUAAUGCUUAGGAAUCUGCCUAUUAGUGGGGGACAACAUUCCGAAAGGAAUGCUAAUACCGCAUACGCCCUACGGGGGAAAGCAGGGGAUCUUCGGACCUUGCGCUAAUAGAUGAGCCUAAGUCAGAUUAGCUAGUUGGUGGGGUAAAGGCCUACCAAGGCGACGAUCUGUAGCGGGUCUGAGAGGAUGAUCGGCCACCCUGGGACUGGGACACGGCCCAGACUCCUACGGGAGGCAGCAGUGAGGAAUAUUGGACAAUGGGCGAAAGCCUGAUCCAGCCAUGCCGCGUGUGUGAAGAAGGCCUUUUGGUUGUAAAGCACUUUAAGCGAGGAGGAGGCUACUUGGAUUAAUACUCUAGGAUAGUGGACGUUACUCGCAGAAUAAGCACCGGCUAACUCUGUGCCAGCCGCCGCAGUAA